UACGUAGGGCGCAAGCGUUGUCCGGAAUUAUUGGGCGUAAAGAGCUCGUAGGUGGCUUGUCGUGUCGGGUGUGAAAGCUUGGGGCUUAACUCCAGGUCUGCAUUCGAUACGGGCUGGCUAGAGGUAGGUAGGGGAGAACGGAAUUCCUGGUGUAGCGGUGAAAUGCGCAGAUAUCAGGAGGAACACCGGUGGCGAAGGCGGUUCUCUGGGCCUUACCUGACGCUGAGGAGCGAAAGCGUGGGGAGCGAACAGG
rnacentral:rRNA from 1 species